CUUUUCCUGCUUGGUACGUCGGCAUGUCCUUUUGGACCCACAUUUUUUAAUUAGGGAAGUUAGACUUCCUAUUCGGUUUGCAGACCUCCCGCCCGCGCUUCGACGAUGGGUGGAUGCUGGGAGCAGUUAAGGAUAGGAGCGGCAACCCACCUGCCUUUUCGUGCAGGUCAUAAUUGGAUGUGCUACGGCUAAAGCGGGGUGCAU
rnacentral:other from 1 species